AGGGAGGAGGAGGGGGGAUGGUGAUGGAAAGGGGGAAGGGGGGAUGGUGAUGGGGAGGGGGAGGGGGGAGAGGAGAGUCCAAACAGCGUCUUGUGGUACAGCUGAGUCUCUUUUAUUAUAAUCCAUCCUCUCCUUUUUAUCCUUUUUUUUUUUCUCUAUUAUUCUUUAGUUUCUGGCGCGAUUUUUUUUUUCCGGGAGUUUCGCUUUUUUAUUUCUUUCUUUUUGGUGGUUCGUAUAAGCUGAAUCUAUUAUUAUUUUUCCCUUUUUUCUUUUUUUUUUUCUUUCUUUCCCAUUAUUAUUCUUUGGUGUCUUGCGUGAUAUUUUUUCCGGGUAAGUUUUGCUUUUUUUAAUUUUUUUGGGGGGGAUUCGUAUAAGCUGAAUCUCUAUUGCUAUUUUCCCUUUCUUUUUUUUCCUUUAUUUUCUUGUUUUUUCCAUCUAUUAUUCUUUGGCGUCUGGCGUGAUAUUAUUUUUUCCGAGUGGGUUUCGCGUUUUCUUUAUUUUUUUCUUUAUUUUUUUCUGGUUCGUAUAAGUUUGAAGGGAAAAAAGAAAACCUUGAGCAUCUUUCUUUUUUUCCCGGUUUCCUGUCUCGUUUUCUUUCCCUUUAUUGUCGGGUUAUGAUCUGGAGACAUUUUCGGGGUUCUUCCUUUUUUUCGUCCUCUUUUAAAACGCCGUUCACUAGAAAAUGUUUUAAGGCGAGGAAGAGAAGAAAAGAGAAGAAAGUGAAAGGAAAUUGUGUACAUAUGUGUUUGUGUGUGUGUGUGUGUGUGUGUGUGUGUGUGUGUGUGUGUGUGUGUGUGUGUGUGUGUGUGUGUGUGUGUUCGUUUGUUAUAGUCAACGUAAUUCACACAUACACGAUGGGAAAGAAACUAAAGAAAUGAUGGUGAUGAUGAUGGUUAAGGUGGUGAUGAUGGUGUCGGUGGUGAUGUUGGUGGUGUUGAAAAGUAUCUGAACACUUAACACUAACCCCUCAUGCCUAACACCGAGACUACCCCUCAUUCACGAUAACCGGGCGAAUAAGCUCCUCCCCCUCACCAUUAAGCCACGCCCCUCAACUCCAAGUCAGCAUGUGAUUGGUGGACGCUCUGACAGGCUAAAUCUUAUUUGUGGGUACUAUGAAAAGGUAAUUCCUCCCCUCUCUAUCUAUAAUUCCAUAUCAUUGGCUAAUCCACAAGCUAGCCACGCCCAUUCUCCAACUCGGCCUGUGAUUGGUGGAGGCUUUGGUAGGCUAAAUCUCAUUGGUGGAUGCUGUGAAAGGGUAACUCCUCUUUUUCUUACAAGUCCAUAUCACUGGCUAUCCCACAAACUAGCCGCUCCCCUUCUGCAACUCGUCCUGUGACUGAUGGAUGCUGAGGAAGGUUAAAUCUUAUUGGUGGAUAGCCGGAGGGGGCGGGGCUUCUUCGCCAGGUUAAUGUGGAUGAGAGGCAGGACAAGGAAUAGUGAAUUUGAUGUGUGUGGGAAGCUGAGAAUCCUUAGGAGGAGGGGUGGAGGGGGGAAGGUAACAAUGAUGGCACGUGUAAACCAGCUCAUUAAAGGGUCUAAUUAACGUGCCUACACCUUUAUCAUACCUGCGGGGGACGUUUGGCAACACCGCCUGGCACUUAUCACCACCACCAUCACCACCAGCCUUAUUAUUAUUAUUAUUAUUAUUAUUAUUAUUAUUAUUAUUAUUAUUAUUAUUAUUAUUAUUAUUAUUAUUAUUAUUAUUAUUACUGUUGUUUUUGUUUUGUUUUCUAGCCGUCUAAAGCAGCUGUGUUUGUAUAGGAUAAGGAUAGGAACACACACACACACACACACACACACACACACACACACACACACACACACACACACACACACACACACACACACACACACCUCGGGAUGCUUUAAUUAAGUAUAUAAAAAUAAGCUGCUUUGGGAGUUAUCGAGUCAAGCCCUUUAAAAAUCAAGCUUGAGGGGGAGCAGAUUCGAACAAAAACAAAAACUAACAAAAACAUAAUAAUAAUAAUAAUAAUAAUAAUAAUAAUAAUAAUAAUAAUAAUAAUAAUGAUAAUAAUAAUAAUGGUAAACGAAGAGAUACGUAGGGAAGCAUGCGUGGGUAAGUGGGUAGGUAGUUAGGUAGAUUUAAUUAAAUUCUAUCUAGGUAAGGCUAAGGUAGGUAGGGUUAACACAUCUACAGGUAAGGAGGGUAAGGUAAGGUAGGUUUAAAUACAUUCCUGGGUUGGGUAAGGAAGGCAAAGUGGGUUCAUAUACACUUAUAGUUAAGGAAAAAAGGGUAAGAUCCGUUUAACUCAUUCAUAGGCAGACAAGUUAGUAGGAAGGUAGGUUUUACACAUAUUUGGGUAAGAAAGGUAAGGUAAGGUAGGUUUAAAUACACUUAUAGGUAAGGAAAGUUGGGUAAGAUCCGUUUAACUCAUUCAUAGGCAGACAAGUUAGUAGGAAGGUAGGUAUUACACAUAUUUGGGUAAUAAAGGUGAGGUAAGGUAGGUUUAAAUACACUUAUAGGUAAGGAAAGUUGGGUAAGAUCCGUUUAACUCAUUCUCAGGCAGACAGGUAGGUAGGUUUUAUACAUCUUUGGGUAAGGUAAGGAAGGGCAGGUACGUUUAAAUACACAAAUAGGUAAGGAAAUUAAGGUAAGGUAGGUUUAACACAAUACUACGUCAGGUAAGAAAGGUAAGAUAGGUUUAAAUACACACAUAGGUAAGGAAAGUAAGGUAAAGUAGGCAGGUAGGUUUAGAUACAUUCCUGUGUAGGGUAAGGGAGGGUUCAUAGGUAAGGAAGAAGGUAAGGUGAGAUAGGUCUAAAUCAAUGCUGGUUAAGGGAAAGGUGGGCAGGUAGGUUUAAAUGCUUUCUUGGGUAAGACAAGGAGGGUUAGUUAGGCAGGUAGGGUAAGGAAAGGUAGGUAAGGAAAGUAAGGUAAGAAGGGUAAGGUUCUGUAGGGUACGUGAGGUUAGGUUGGUUUAGUUCAUUUACAGGUAAGCAGAUAGGUAGCCAGGUAAGGUUACAUCACUCGUGGGUAAGGUUGUUUUAGGUACAUUCCAAGGUCAGGUAAGGAAGGGAAGGUAAGGAGGGUAAUGUAAGGUAGGUUUAAAUCAUUCCUAGGUAGGGUAAGUUAGGUUAGAGGAGGGUAAGGUAAGGUAAGGUAAGGAAGGAUUUAUAGGUAAUGAAAUUAAGGUGAGGUAAGGUUAGGUAGGAUAGGUAGGUUUAGAUACAUUCCUGGGUAGGGUAAGGAAGGUAAGGCAAUUAGGAUAAGGUAAGGUAGGUUUAGAUCAUUCUUGGGUAGGUUAGGCAGGGUUAGAUACAUUCCUGGGUAGGGUAAGGAAGGUAACGCAAUUAGGAUAAGGUAAGGUAGGUUUAGAUCAUUCUUGGGUAGGUUAGGCAGGGUUAGAUACAUUCCUGGGUAGGGUAAGGAAGGUAAGGUAAUUAGGAUAAGGUAAGGUAGGUUUAGAUCAUUCUUGGGUAGGUUAGGUAGGGUUAGAUACAUUCCUGGGUGGGGUAAGGAAGGUAAGGUAAUUAGGAUAAGGUAAGGUAGGUUUAAAUCAUUCUUGGGUAGGGUUAGGAAGGUAAGGUAAUUAGGAUAAGGUAAGGUAGGUUUAGAUCAUUCUUGGGUAGGGUUAGGAAGGUAAGGGAAUUAGGAUAAGGUAAGGUAGGUUUAGAUCAUUCUUGGGUAGGUCAGGUAGGGUUAGAUACAUUCCUGGUGUCCGCUACGGUACACAAAACGGAAAACGCGAAUUGCUCGUAAAAAUAGAAGAGUCUGUCCUCUCAACUGUUCUAAGAGCUAUGGCAGAGCGUCUACGGCAGGGGGAGGGGCAGGGGAGCCGUCCACGUCCCUGCUGUUGGGGGAGGAGCAGGAGCAGGAGGAGCAGGAGGAGGAGGAUGAAGAGGAGGAGGAGGAGGGGUAAGCGAAGAGAGGUUCGGUAGGAAGAGGAGCAGGAGGAAAGGAGCAUUGAUUGGAAAUUGACCAAAGGAGGAAGAGGAACAGUAAUAGGAGGAGGAGGAAGAGGAGAAGGAGGAGGAGGAGGAAGAUGGGGUGAAGAGGAGUUAGAUUGGAAGAGGAAGAGAUGGAAGGAGGAGUGAGGGAAGAUAUGGAAUGGGAGGAAUAGAAGGAGGAGAAGGAGGAAGAGGAAGAAUACGAAGAAAAAGAAGAAAAAGAAGAAAAGAAGAAGUAGAAGAAAAAGAAGAAAAAAGAGAAAAAAAGAAGAGAGAGAGAGAGAGAGAGAGAG